rnacentral:rRNA from 1 species
UACGUAGGGCGCAAGCGUUGUCCGGAAUUAUUGGGCGUAAAGAGCUCGUAGGCGGCUUGUUGCGUCGGUUGUGAAAGCCCGGGGCUUAACCCCGGGUCUGCAGUCGAUACGGGCAGGCUAGAGUGUGGUAGGGGAGAUCGGAAUUCCUGGUGUAGCGGUGAAAUGCGCAGAUAUCAGGAGGAACACCGGUGGCGAAGGCGGUUCUCUGGGAAUGUCCUGACGCUGAGGAGCGAAAGUGUGGGGAGCGAACAGG